rnacentral:rRNA from 1 species
AUUGAACGCUGGCGGCAGGCCUAACACACGCAAGUCGAGCGGAUGAAGGGAGCUUGCUCCUGGAUUCAGCGGCGGACGGGUGAGUAAUGCCUAGGAAUCUGCCUGGUAGUGGGGGAUAACGUCCGGAAACGGGCGCUAAUACCGCAUACGUCCUGAGGGAGAAAGUGGGGGAUCUUCGGACCUCACGCUAUCAGAUGAGCCUAGGUCGGAUUAGCUAGUUGGUGGGGUAAAGGCCUACCAAGGCGACGAUCCGUAACUGGUCUGAGAGGAUGAUCAGUCACACUGGAACUGGGACACGGUCCAGACUCCUACGGGAGGCAGCAGUGGGGAAUAUUGGACAAUGGGCGAAAGCCUGAUCCAGCCAUGCCGCGUGUGUGAAGAAGGUCUUCGGAUUGUAAAGCACUUUAAGUUGGGAGGAAGGGCAGUAAGUUAAUACCUUGCUGUUUUGACGUUACCAACAGAAUAAGCACCGGCUAACUUCGUG